UGCUCCCUCGCCCUUUUUGGACGCUACGGCGCGCUUGCGUUCUACAAACGCAGGCAGAGACUCACGCGCUCUCGUCUCCCACCACCUCGUCGGCCGUCGGCGUCACGGCAAUCUCGUGUGCUGGUACUUGUUUAUGUAUGGGAAGUUGUCAGCAGUAGCCCCAUGCGCGGUAACUUGUACAGCCGGGGCUUUGACUCCAUGAAGUCGCGCUCCGAGCGGCGCAAGGAGAAGCAAGCGAAGCUAGCCAAAACGAAGCGUGUUAUUCGGCUCAAGAAGCGACUAGGCCGCAUCGCGGCGCGCAAGUUCGCUGUUCAAGAAGACAGCCACAUGACAGCGCUGAUGGAAUCAUACAUACUCCGCCGCAAGGCGGAGCGGGCGGCGGAGAAGGCGAAGGACGCACCAAAGGAUGGCGCUGAGGCUUCCGGGGAAGGCGGCCUGGCGGGAAAGGGCAGUGGCGCGGAGGAGAGCGAGAUGGAUGAGGACGAGGGUAGCGACUCCUCCUCGCUUGGCAGCCGGGCGAACAGCGCGUUCGAAGUGGAUGACGUUGACGAGGAGGAGGAGGAGCAAGAGGAUAUCGCCAGCUCCCGGCGUCGUGCUGUGCAAUGCAGGCAAGCGGGCUAUGCUCGUGGUGGCGGUGGCGCAUGCCGUGGUACUACUCCACGCAGAGGUGGCGCAUGUUUGGCAGCAAACAAGGAUUCCACUGCACCUGGCGGCAAGCACGGGCGUGGUGGCGGUGCCGGUCGUCGCGGACAGGGUAUUCGCGGUGGCCGCGGCAGCGCCCGUGGCGGUCGGAGCUCGCACAAUCGCCAGAAUACCAGUAGAAACGGGAGCUUUCAUGAGCGGUCUCGCAAGGUGCCCACUCGCUCCCUCUAUUGAGCGCGGUGCCAGAGGCGGUGUGGGACUAAGGCAGGUGCAGUAGCCGGUGUAAGGACAUCGCGCAUCGAUUGUUUUUCUCGUGGCGCACCAGAAACGGAUGCUGCUCUGAGGCAUCUGCAAAGGCGAAUGCAGUGCGUGCGGGGAGGGGGCUCUUGUCCUCGGUCUUGAAGCUUGCCUCUUCCAGAGUGGUGUGGCCCUCCCCCCCCCGUACCAGCAUGCGCACGUAUGUGUACCCAGGUCCAUGCGAGCCCGUGCUCCGUCGUUUCUCUUUGAUUCUGUUUUGGUCUAAAGUACCGUUUAAAAAGACUAUCACACCCCCUCGUCUCUCCAACGGCAACACGAG
rnacentral:misc_RNA from 1 species